rnacentral:rRNA from 1 species
GAUGAACGCUGGCGGCGUGCCUAAUACAUGCAAGUCGAGCGAACAGACGAGGAGCUUGCUCCUCUGAUGUUAGCGGCGGACGGGUGAGUAACACGUGGAUAACCUACCUAUAAGACUGGGAUAACUUCGGGAAACCGGAGCUAAUACCGGAUAAUAUAUUGAACCGCAUGGUUCAAUAGUGAAAGACGGUUUUGCUGUCACUUAUAGAUGGAUCCGCGCCGCAUUAGCUAGUUGGUAAGGUAACGGCUUACCAAGGCAACGAUGCAUAGCCGACCUGAGAGGGUGAUCGGCCACACUGGAACUGAGACACGGUCCAGACUCCUACGGGAGGCAGCAGUAGGGAAUCUUCCGCAAUGGGCGAAAGCCUGACGGAGCAACGCCGCGUGAGUGAUGAAGGUCUUCGGAUCGUAAAACUCUGUUAUUAGGGAAGAACAUAUGUGUAAGUAACUGUGCACGUCUUGACGGUACCUAAUCAGAAAGCCACGGCUAACUACGUG